rnacentral:rRNA from 1 species
UAGCGUAUAUUAAAGUUGUUGCGGUUAAAAAGCUCGUAGUUGGAUUUCUGUCGAGGAUGGCCGGUCCGCACUUUGUGCGUGCAUCUGGUUCAGCCUUGGCAUCCUCCUGGGGAACGUAUCUGCGCUUAAUUGCGUGGUGCGGUAUCCAGGACUUUUACUUUGAGGAAAUUAGAGUGUUCACGGCAGGCAAACGCCUUGAAUACAUUAGCAUGGAAUAAUAAUAUAGGACCUUGGUCCCAUUUUGUUGGUUUCUGGAACUGAGGUAAUGAUUAAUAGGGAUAAUUGGGGGCAUUCGUAUUAACGUGUCAGAGGUGGAAUUCUUGGAUUACGUUACGACGAACUACUGCGAAAGCAUUUGCCAAGGAUGUUUUCAUUGAUCAAGAACGAAAGUUCGGGGAUCGAAGAUGAUUAGAUACCAUCGUAGUCCGAACCAUAAACUAUGCCAACUAGAGAUGGGCGAUCGUUAUUUUAUUGACUUCGUCCGCACCUUAUGAGAAAUCAAAGUCUUUGGGUUCCGGGGGGAGUAUGGUCGCAAGGCUGAAACUUAAAG